rnacentral:miRNA from 1 species
GCAACUAAGUACACUUCCAUA